rnacentral:rRNA from 1 species
AUGGCCUCAGAACUAGGGCUAGCGCCGCCGGCGAAGCGCCCGCUACCGUCGGCACCCACCACCAUCACCGGUAUCGGCGACGACCUCCUCCGCGAGAUCUUCCUCAUGCUUCCGUCCCUCCCGAGCCUCGUCCGCGCCGCCCUCGCCUGCCGCACCUUCCUCGGCGCCGUCCGGUCGUCCCCCGCCUUCCGCCGCCGCUUCCUGGCGCUCCACCCGCCCCAGAUCCUCGGCUUCUUCAUCUGCCCCAGCCGCAUCGCCAGCCACCCCUUCGUCCCCUCCCGCGGCCGCUCCGACCCGGACCUCGCCGCCGCCGUCCGCGGCGCCGAUUUCUUCCUCACCCGUCUCCCGGAGAACGGCGGUUCCUCCCGCGGGUGGCACUUCGAGACCUGCUACGGUGGCUACGCCGUCCUCCUCAACCAAACCACGGACCAGAUCGCGGCCUACAACCCCCUCACGCAGGCGCUGCAUCUCUUCCCCCAGCCGCCCGCCGACAAGAUCCUCUUCCACGGCUUGCCUGAGUACUAUUUUUUCUCCGAAGAGGACCAGGGAGUGCUCCGUAUGGUCUGUGUCCAACACCGGAACAUGUCGUGGCAAGUGCCGGCGCGCCUCGCCGUCUUCUCCCCGGCCACCAGCAGCGAGUGGCAGAUUUUGCCGUGGGUGGAGACCCCGCCGCCGCUGCAGCCCGAGGAAGAUGGUCAAAAGGUCAUCACCUUUUACCCUGGUACGCAGGUGAAAGGAUUCGUCUACUGGAAACACACGAGUCAAGCCUAUGCACUCAUUCUCAACACUGCGACACUGCAAUUCUCGAGAGUGGAUUUGCCGCCAUUCUUUGAAGAGAUAGAGACUGUGCAAUUUAUGCUUGGUCAGACCAAGGAUGGGGAGCUCUGUAUGGCUGGCGCAGAUGACAACGAUGGAAAGACAGGAAUGCUCGUUGUUUGCGUUUGGAGAGCUGAUGAGCACGGUGUUGAGAAGUGGAUGCUGGAAGGUAUUUUUGCACUGAGUCUAUUUGUUGAUGCCACAGAGGAUGAUUCCACGGUGCAGGUUGAUGCGAUUAUCGAUGGCUAUGUGUACCUGUCUACUAAGUAUUCUGGGCAAGCCGAGUCCCUCCUAUCCCUCUGCCUGGAAACAGCAAAGCUAACCAAGCUCUUUGAUGGUACAUACACAAGCCCAUCUCAUCCCUAUAUCAUGGCAUGGCCUUCUUCAUUGGCAGACAACAAGGCAAGCCCGUGCUUGAAGAUUCCGGUUUACAGAAGGAUGGUGAAAGCCAAAUCUUCUGGAAGGGGAGGCGGCGAUCCAGAAUUCAGCUAUCAGGAGUUCAGGACCCAUGAAGCUGCUAGUGUGUCCUCGACUGGUGGCUUACUGAGCAUCAGUGAAGAAGAUGAGAGUGAAGAUGAACAAAAUGAGCUGAUGGAUAUUGAGCGGCAGUAA